GGAGCUGCUGCUGUGGGGUCCCGCUGGCAAAGCCUGGCCUGUCGGUCUUGGGCGGUCGGUCGUCAUCUUCCCCAGUCCCUGCGGGGGUUUAGGGGAACCACCCCUCUCCCCGAACUGGAGGGUCCCCAGAAAGAUUAAGCCUGGGCAGAUAACGAGAUCAAAACCGGUAUGUGGUUUCUUGGGGUGCAGGCUCUUGCUGCACGACCCCCCGCCCCCGAAAGUCGCCCUCACCCCUGGAUCCCGAGGACAAAGGUCUGGAGAGGUCCGUCCCCUCCCCCAGCGAGGAGACCGGGAAAGACCCGCGGGUGUCGUACCCAGGGUCCUCACUAAACUGCCCAGGCUGGCUUCAAACUUGUGAUCCUCCUGCCUCAGCCUCCCAAGUGCUGGGAUUACAGAUGUGUGCCACCACAACCUGCUUAAACCUCUAUAUUUUUGCUGAUUUGUUUGUGUACUUAUAACUUCCUGGUAUAUUUUUCAGUUAUGUAAUGAGCAACUUUCUCCCUAAUUGUGUUUUUCAGUUUUUGUUUUUUUGGUACCGAGGAUCAAACUCAGGACCUUGCGCUUGUGAGGCAGGCGCAGUGCCACUGAGCUAAAUCCCCGGCCCACCUCUAAUAGUAUUUUUGUCUUAAAAUCUAUUUUUCUCUGCUAUUACUACUACUGCCUCAGCUUUCUUUCGUUGGUUUUAGUCUGAAUAAGUCUUUUCUAUCUUGACUUUCAACCUCUCUGUGG
rnacentral:lncRNA from 1 species